rnacentral:misc_RNA from 1 species
AACCUUAUGGACCUGCGGGCGUAUACCUGCGGAGGGAUCAUUAUUGUAGGGACUUCGGUCCUUCCAAGAUGCAACCCUUGCCUUUUUUCCAGCGUCUCUCCGUUUCCUCGGCAGCUCCGCCUGCCAACGAGGACAACCAAAAACCUUUUUGCAAUCUCUGAAUAAACUUCUGAAAAUUACAAAAAACGUUAAAACUUUCAACAACGGAUCU